rnacentral:ncRNA from 2 species
GUUCAUGACGGGCCUGACGGUGUCCGUGACCAGCGGACUUAAAAAGGGAACGCAGUGAAAUGCUGCGGCUGCCCCCGCAACUGUAAGUAUCGCCAUCCACAGGGAUGGAGGAUCGUCAGGGCCAUAAAACCACUGGCAGACUGUUUUUCUGCUGGGAAGGGGGCGCUGACCCGGUACGAGCCAGGAGACCUGCCGUCGCAGGAGUUGUCCG